rnacentral:rRNA from 1 species
UACGUAGGGACCAAGCGUUGUUCGGAUUUACUGGGCGUAAAGGGCGCGUAGGCGGCGCGACAAGUCACUUGUGAAAUCUCUGGGCUUAACUCAGAACGGCCAAGUGAAACUGUUGUGCUAGAGUGCAGAAGGGGCAAUCGGAAUUCUCGGUGUAGCGGUGAAAUGCGUAGAUAUCGAGAGGAACACCAGAGGUGAAGACGGGUUGCUGGGCCGACACUGACGCUGAGGCGCGAAAGCCAGGGGAGCAAACGGG